AAUCAACGCUGGCGGCGUGCCUCAGACAUGCAAGUCGAACGCGAAAGUUUCCUUCGGGAAACAAGUAGAGUGGCGCACGGGUGAGUAACACGUAGGUAAUCUACCUUUGGAUGGGGAAUAACAACCGGAAACGGUUGCUAAUACCGCAUAAUGCAGCGGCACCUAAUGGUGACAGUUGUUAAAGCGGGGGAGUCGAAAGACCUCGCGUCUGAAGAGGAGCCUGCGGCGGAUUAGCCAGUUGGUAAGGUAAUGGCUUACCAAGGCUACGAUCCGUAACCGGCCUGAGAAGGCGGUCGGUCACACUGACACUGACAUACGGGUCAGACUCCUACGGGAGGCAGCAGUAGGGAAUAUU
rnacentral:rRNA from 1 species